rnacentral:rRNA from 1 species
UAGAGGAAUCUGUUCUGUAAUUGAUAAUCCACGUUGGACCUCACUUAAUUUUGUUUUCAAUUUGUAUAUCGCCGUCAUCAGAAUAUAUUAUAAGAUUAAUAAUUUUCUUAAUAUUUCAUUAAAUAAUAUGUCAGGUCAAGGUGCAGUUUAUGGUUAAGUAGAAAUGGAUUACAAUAAAUAUAUUUAUACGGAUAAUUUUUUGAAAUAAAAAUUUGAAGGUGGAUUUAAUAGUAAUAUAAAAUAGAUUAUUUAUAUGAUUAUAGCUCUAAAACAUGCACACAUCGCCCGUCGCUCUCAUUUUUAAAAUGAGAUAAGUCGUAACAUAGUAGAUGUACUGGAAAGUGUAUCUAGAAUGA